rnacentral:rRNA from 1 species
UACGUAGGGUGCGAGCGUUGUCCGGAAUUACUGGGCGUAAAGCGCACGUAGGCGGCUUUGCAAGUUAGAGGUGAAAGCCCGGGGCUCAACCCCCGGAAUUGCCUUUAAGACUGCAUCGCUCGAAUCCAGGAGAGGUGAGUGGAAUUCCGAGUGUAGAAGUGAAAUUCGUAGAUAUUCGGAAGAACACCAGUGGCGAAGGCGGCUCACUGGACUGGUAUUGACGCUGAGGUGCGAAAGCGUGGGGAGCAAACAGG